AACCUCCGCAAUGUGAGAAAUCGCGACGGGGGGAUCCCAAGUGCCAUUCUUAACGGGAUGGCUUUUCAUUAGUGUAAGGAGCUUUUGGAAUAAGAGCUGGGCAAGACCGGUGCCAGCCGCCGCGGUAACACCGGCAGCUCUAGUGGUAACAAUUUUUAUUGGGCCUAAAGCGUCCGUAGCCGGUUUAAUAAGUCUCUGGUGAAAUCCUGCAGCUUAACUGUGGGAAUUGCUGGAGAUACUAUUAGACUUGAGACCGGGAGAGGUUAGAGGUACUCCCAGGGUAGAGGUGAAAUUCUGUAAUCCUGGGAGGACCGCCUGUUGCGAAGGCGUCUAACUGGAACGGUUCUGACGGUGAGGGACGAAAGUUAGGGGCGCGAACCGGAUUAGAUACCCGGGUAGUCCUAACUGUAAACGAUGCGGACUUGGUGUUGGGUGGCUUUGAGCUGCUUCAGUGCCGAAGGGAAGCUGUUAAGUCCGCCGCCUGGGAAGUACGGUCGCAAGACUGAAACUUAAAGGAAUU
rnacentral:rRNA from 1 species